rnacentral:rRNA from 1 species
UACGAAGGGGGCUAGCGUUGUUCGGAAUUACUGGGCGUAAAGCGCACGUAGGCGGAUUGUUAAGUGUGGGGUGAAAUCCCAGGGCUCAACCCUGGAACUGCCUCUCAUACUGGCAAUCUCGAGUUCGAGAGAGGUGAGUGGAAUUGCGAGUGUAGAGGUGAAAUUCGUAGAUAUUCGCAGGAACACCAGUGGCGAAGGCGGCUCACUGGCUCGAUACUGACGCUGAGGUGCGAAAGCGUGGGGAGCAAACAGG